UUGAGCCUUGAUGUGUAGGAUAGGUGGGAGGCUUUGAAGUGUGGACGCCAGUCUGCAUGGAGCCGACCUUGAAAUACCACCCUUUAAUGUUUGAUGUUCUAACGUUGGCCCCUAAUCGGGGUUGCGGACAGUGUCUGGUGGGUAGUUUGACUGGGGCGGUCUCCUCCUAAAGAGUAACGGAGGAGCACGAAGGUUGGCUAAUCCUGGUCGGACAUCAGGAGGUUAGUGC
rnacentral:rRNA from 1 species